rnacentral:rRNA from 1 species
AUAGUUUGAUCCUGGCGCAGGAUGAACGCUAGCGGCCGGCUCUAACACAUGCGAGUCGAGGGGCUGCCCAAAGAUAGUUUACUAUUUUGGUGGCGACCGGCGCACGGGUGAGUAACGCGUAUGUAACCUACCUUGUACGGGACUAUAGCCCGAACAAAUUCGGAUUAAUCCUCCAUAGUAUUUUCUAAUGGCAUCGUUUGCAAAAUUAAAGCUUCGGCGGUAUAAGAUGGGCAUGCGUCCUAUUAGCUACAUGGUAAGGCAAUGGCUUACCCUGGCUACCAUAGGUAGGGGGCCUGAGAGGGUGAUCCCCCACACUGGUACUGAGACACGGACCAGACUCCUACGGGAGGCAGCAGUUGAGGAAUAUUGGUCAAUGGGCGAAAGCCUGAACCAGUCAUGCCGCCUGCUCGAAGAAUGCCCUAUGGGUUGUAAACUGCUUUUAUUUACGAAUAAACCUCUCUACCUGCAGAGGGCUGAAUGUACUAACCGAAUAAGCACCGGCUA